rnacentral:rRNA from 1 species
UACGGAGGGUGCGAGCGUUAAUCGGAAUUACUGGGCGUAAAGCGCAUGCAGGUGGUUUGUUAAGUCAGAUGUGAAAGCCCGGGGCUCAACCUCGGAAUAGCAUUUGAAACUGGCAGACUAGAGUACUGUAGAGGGGGGUAGAAUUUCAGGUGUAGCGGUGAAAUGCGUAGAGAUCUGAAGGAAUACCGGUGGCGUAGGCGGCCCACUGGACAGAUACUGACUCUCAGAUGCGAAAGCGUGGGGAGCAAACAGC